CAAGAGGACAAGCGGUAAGCAGUCCCCAAAGGAAACUGUUAAAGAGUGAAGAAGGCAUUAGUUGUAUAUUUUAAAAGGACCAAUCAGGUUUUCAGUGCUCUAAGGACCACUCAGAUAGGAUGCACCCAGCAAGAGACGUCCAAUCUUCUAAUGACUCUACAGGAAAUGAUAGGGAUCUCAGCUACAGUUUUCAGUGAGUUAUGCUAAAAUUACAAAAUGCAGAACGGAAAAACCCCCUGGAGAGCUUUCUACCUACCCUUCUCAUUGCAUGUGAGAGAAGUAAGACGCACAAAAGAUCAUCUCUGAAGAUCUUUACGUAUUUUGUGACUUGCAAUCUUAACUUCCGUGUUUUCAAAACAUUUAGUUAGCCAGUUGAGGUGAGCUCUUAAGAACCAAUCAGAAAGACACACACAUCAUGACUCACCCGAGUGAGCAGUAACUAAGUUCUUCCUAAUCGGGUUCUCUGAACAUCCUUAUCUAAGUACUGCAUGUGUUGGGGCUGGGAGACCAGACCUGCCCAGUGGGCCCUGGGAGGAGUGACGGAGGCCUGGAGGAACAACCUGGUAGAUUUGGAGCCAGAGAACAUUCUGCAUUUUUGCUCUACUUCUUCUGGAACUUCCAGCACAAAGUGGGACCCAGGGCCACCCGGCUUAUUUUUAACAAGGGCAUUGCACCCUCCUCCAGUGUGCACAGGCUUUCCAGAACUUACCAGUUCAAUUGAAGCUGAAAUCAGCCCCAGGGUUAACCCAGGAGGCCUGUAGCACAGCAAUGGGAGGGGCCACCUGUCACCGAAGCCAUGAGUUCUGUGAAGAGCUGAGCAAGAUUUACUCAGCCACUGGAAAAGCACAUUCUGGUCUGUCGCAGAAUUUCUCCGACUCCUCAGAGCAGGGGCAUCUUCACUGCCCUCUACCUCAGCAGAGAAAGGGCUUCAUGUGGGUCCCCAGAUCCACCACACACACCGUGCAUCCCCGGCACCCAGCCCACACUCAUCCCACAGGAGACGCUUCACAGAGAGCUGUUGAGUGAACGAAGGCAGCUACCCCCUCCUUCUCACUCUGCCCAACUAUUAGAUGUCCUGGGAUAACUCAACAAUCAAUUUCUCCUUUUCACCUGCAAAGCCAUCCUAGGAAGUAUGGGAUCUACUCAACACCCACGGGGAGGGACAUUCUAGGUGGAUUAAACUUCCUUCCACGGAUGUUUUCUGGGAACCCAUAUCGCACACAGGGGUCCCGGGACCAGAGUGACAAGGCCAAGUUGUAGAGAGUGCCCUGGCCAGGUGCUCCUUAGUAACUGACCACAGCCUGUCUCCUACAGGGUCAGAGGUGGCCUGAGAACUCUGUCUCGGCAGAGUCCUGGCAGUCCCUGCUGGCCAGAAUUGGCACUCAGGAUGAAACCUAUUUGCCAUCCUGGUGGAGGGUACACGCACAGGCGGGGCUUCUGUACCACUUUCAGCAAACAAGGGCUCUGGGGCUCCCACGUAGAAUAAGUACUUCCGACACCGGCUCUUCCGUGAGCACACAAGGAACCUGACUUGGAGGAACCUCAAAUCAGUUCUCAAAACUCCCAGGACCUUCUCUCUGUGGGUGGCAUUCCUGGCCACAGUCCAGUAUUUGGUGAUCCUAGUGAUCUCUCUGCAUUGCCAAAAAAUAGAUAGCAUUUUGCUGUGUGAUCAGUAUGCCUUGAACAAAUUCUUCAUCUCCUCUCUGUUUCCUCAUCUAUAAAAUAGUGAUGAUACUUGUUCCUACCUCCCGUGUAAAGCACUUAAGACAAUGCCAAA